CUACUUUCUAAAUGCUUCUCACGCCUGUGCCCUUCUCCCAAGGCAAGGCCACUAUCAUCUCUGCAGUGGAUCCCAACCCAUCCUGGGCAUUGCAGAUAAAGAGGUGAUGCCACUCCCGUGCUUCAUCUCCUUCAGAGGACUUCUGUCAAGAUGGGCUAAACUGACCUGGGACCCUGACUCUUACUCUCAACACAUAAAAUUGCUAGAUAAAAUAUUUUUACACUUUUAAAUAUACAUAGCCAAGCAGACAUGCAAGAAAUAAAUGUGAUGAGAGAUCCCCCCUCCCCCCUUCAGCUGUAAGGGAAGAGUUGCAGCUGUGGGGUAUGGAGAUUGCACUGAGGAAUCAAGACCUGGCAUUCAAGACCCAGCAGUGGAAGUUCCACCAGCAGCCUGAAGGACAGAGCCUCACCAACACCAACACCCAGACCUGAUCAGCUAGGCCCCUGAUGGUUGAAGGGGUAGGAGAUGGUGCUCAAUGCCUGCUUUGGAGCAAAUAACUAAAUGCAGUCUUUACAGUCGCCAUGAGACAGCUUCACCACCCCAUGCUGAAGAGGAGGAAACUGAGUGGGAACCAAACCCUGGACUCUCUAGUCUGCAGGCUGACACUCCAACCGCUGAGCCAAAUUGGCCAGGGCUGACCACUCUGUUCUUCAUGGCUCUCCCAGCAUGCCAUUUUCCCAGCUCUCCCCUUCUUUGCUACACUCCAAGUAACACUUCGCAAAAAACAGAGAGGAAUUGACAACAUGCAGAAAUUGCCAAGCCUCCAGAACAUGAAAGAGCCCUCCUGGUCUCUGCCCUGGCCUGUAGUUCCUGAGCUUUUCAUGAUGGGUAAUUGAAUGACCCAUGGUAUUGAUGACCAAGGUUACAGUUCCAGAGACUCUGUCUCUGGCCAAGACCUAGAGAAUCUUUCCUCUGAGGCCCCUCUUUACAGAUCUAGCCAGCAGGACCCCAGGUAGACCAACAGAUGUCCUUGCUCUCCCUGAAGCCAUCUACCUUCCCACAGUCCUCCAGACUCACUGAGGGGACAACUGGCUCAUUCAGAAAUCCACGGACUCAUUGCAAACAUUCAGAAGACCAAUUAGCACCUGGCCUGUUUCUACUGCUAGCCAACACAUCUCCAGUUUCAUGGUGGGAAAAAGAAAAAACGUUGAAUAAAUAUGCAUUCAUAUAUUCAUUGAGCACCUACUAUGUGCCAGAGGCUAUACCAGGCUCUGGCCUCCUGGAACAUCACCACAGUCUUCUGACCACAGCCUAGAUCCAAUGGGGGCAAGGGGUCUUUCCGACCCCAGUGGGUGUGCAGAGAAAGGCUCUAGCAGAAGAGGUGAAGCUGGAGGUAGAAAGAGCAGGCCAGAGACUAGGCUACCUGCAGCAAGCCCCAUCCUUGACAGCUAGGAAAAUAUAGGAAGAAUGGACUGAUCGGGGGUAUCUGGGGGAGAGCCCAGGAACUUGACUAUGUCUCAGUGCCCUCACCUGUAGGAUGGGUUUUCAUACUAUCUGCCUGGAUGAAAGGUAGAAGUGGGUAUGGACAGAGAGCUUCAGGAUAAAGGUCCCUGUUCUUCAGCAACUUUAUGCCUUGAGAAGAUGGUUUUACAAAGAAGCUUGUUAAACCACAAAGAAUCCCAAGCCAAGAUGGAAGCAAAGAUCCCCAAAGUCCUCACUCACCAAGCGGGCACACUGAGCUGAACAUAAUGAGGCUAAUCUGAAUGCAGAGGAAUUGUGCAAAGUCAGUGACCCACAACCAGAGGGAUGAUCUGACUCAGCAUAAACAAGUAGGAAAACACUGAAGAUUUGCUUGCAGCAAAUUCCUAAGGAGUCUAUGAGGAGCACAAAUCCUGAGUGGAUGCCAGGAGGUUCCUGUCACUCCUGCAGGUGUGACCUUCUGGCAGUCAGGAACUGAGGGCCAUUCCAAAGUGACACUGUCCCAGACCUCAGACAGAAGAUCUAGACAGAGGAUGGUGAAGCAUGGCCCAGUAGCCCUCACUCCCCAUGUCCUCACCUCCAAACAUGUGAUCCAAAUUAACAUUGAUAAAUUUUUGGAUGAAUCUUUUGCUCUCUAAACUGCUACUCUAUCCCAAACUCAAACCUGAUAAAUUUGGAUACCAAAGAACACGUGUAUACAUGAA